CGAUGCCUACGGGACGCAGCAGUGGGGAAUAUUGCACAAUGGGGGAAACCCUGAUGCAGCAACGCCGCGUGAGUGAGGAAGUAUUUCGGUAUGUAAAGCUCUAUCAGCAGGGAAGAAGAUGACGGUACCUGAGUAAGAAGCCCCGGCUAACUACGUGCCAGCAGCCGCGGUAAUACGUAGGGGGCAAGCGUUAUCCGGAUUUACUGGGUGUAAAGGGAGCGUAGACGGCAGGGCAAGUCUGGAGUGAAAGCCCGGGGCCCAACCCCGGGACUGCUUUGGAAACUGCCAUGCUGGAGUGCUGGAGG
rnacentral:rRNA from 1 species